rnacentral:miRNA from 1 species
AUUGAAAAGUUUAGUGAG